UACGAAGGGGGCUAGCGUUGUUCGGAAUUACUGGGCGUAAAGAGUGUGUAGGCGGUGCUCCAAGUCUGGUGUGAAAUCUCCCGGCUUAACUGGGAGGGUGCAUUAGAAACUGGAAUGCUAGAGGAUGGGAGAGGUAAGCGGAAUUCCUGGUGUAGCGGUGAAAUGCGUAGAUAUCGGGAGGAACACCAGUGGCGAAGGCGAUCAUCUGGGAUUAACCUGACGCUGAGGAGCGAAAGCCAGGGGAGCAAACGGG
rnacentral:rRNA from 1 species